AACGAACGCUGGCGGCAGGCCUAACACAUGCAAGUCGAGCGAGGACUUCGGUUCUAGCGGCGGACGGGUGAGUAACGCGUGGGAAUGUGCCCUUCUCUACGGAAUAGCCCUGGGAAACUAGGAGUAAUACCGUAUACGCCCUAUUGGGGAAAGAUUUAUCGGAGAAGGAUCAGCCCGCGUUGGAUUAGGUAGUUGGUGGGGUAAUGGCCUACCAAGCCGACGAUCCAUAGCUGGUUUGAGAGGAUGAUCAGCCACACUGGGACUGAGACACGGCCCAGACUCCUACGGGAGGCAGCAGUGGGGAAUCUUAGACAAUGGGGGCAACCCUGAUCUAGCCAUGCCGCGUGAGUGAUGAAGGCCUUAGGGUUGUAAAGCUCUUUCAGCUGGGAAGAUAAUGACGGUACCAGCAGAAGAAGCCCCGGCUAACUCCGUG
rnacentral:rRNA from 1 species